CUCAUCAGUAGCAAUGGAAACUCUCCAGUUCAAAUCCAAUGAAUAUUAGGGAAGGAACAGUUGAUGACUUGAGUUGAAGAAGAGCUGCUUAAUGUCUGGUCAAAGCUUACAAGCAAUACAGAAAUCUAUGGUUAAAAAGCCACGCACUUCAAUCUACUGCAAGGGGUUAAAAUACAGGAAGAUAGAAAUCUUCUGCAAGGAAGAAUGAAUUUAAGGACUUCUCACUGAGGUGGACAAAGAAAUUUUGUCACUUUGACAGAGCAGGGCAAACCAAGUUGGCAGACAAGUUACCUGAAGAAAAAGAGAGGUAAGGCA
rnacentral:lncRNA from 1 species